GGCAACAAUGGCUUUGAAGUUAGUGAUGCUUAUGUAUUACAAGAAUGGAAGGGGUCACAGUUUCUGUAGACAGUAUCAAAUGCUGCCUUUGGUGGAGUACAUGUUGUUGUUAGACCGUGCAUUGUUACCAACUCUUGUUUGGUAUAGAUUCUUUCUCAAUAAAGAAUACGGAAGCCUUUUCUCAUCACUGACAACAGGAUUAUACUUGACGUUUAAGCUUACCUGAAUUGUUGAGAAGGGGAGAAGCAAGUUUGGAUGUCAGAUGAAGUUUGGAAGAAAGAUGCUACUUAAAUUCUGUGUACAUUCUGAUCUCAUUUUUUGUUUAAGCAUUAAUAAGUUUGAAAAUUGGUUCAACAUACGAGUAGAGUCGUGGAGAGGCCUAAAGUGUUUCCUUCGAUCAAACAUGUUACAAAGAAAAUUAUACGAUCAUUCAUUACAACCAUCACAACCUUCAUCUUCCUGUAGAAAGGAAAGUUGAGACGAAGCAGAUAACGGUUAAAAAUCUUCCAGCAGUUAUGUAAGGAGCACACUCAAGGAACUUUAUUUAGAUAGGAUAGCAAAAUAUAUAUAAGACAAGUGUAAAUAAUUGUUAUUUCUUUCUUGAGUCUUAUCUGGGAAGUUUAUUUAGUUUUCUUAAGGAAAUUUUCUUUAUUCUUCUCUAGGAAUUUUGCUUUUCCAUGUAUUCGCAGUCCUUGUACAAAUGAAUAGAUUAGAAAGUUGGUC